UUUCUGUUCCCUCCGUCCGAAAAUAUUUGUUCAAGAAAUGGAUGUAUCUAAAUGUAUUUUAGUUCUAGAUACAACCAUUUAUAUUAAUUUCUAUGACAAUUAUUUCCGGAGGGAGGAAGUAUGUU
rnacentral:pre_miRNA from 1 species